UACGGAGGAGGCAAGCGUUAUCCGGAAUUAUUGGGCGUAAAGCGUCCGUAGGUGGUUUAGUAAGUCUGCUGUUAAAGCGCGGGGCUUAACUCCGUAUCGGCAGUGGAAACUACUAGACUAGAGUGUGGUAGGGGUAGAGGGAAUUCCCAGUGUAGCGGUGAAAUGCGUAGAUAUUGGGAAGAACACCGGUGGCGAAGGCGCUCUACUGGGCCAUAACUGACGCUGAGGAGCGAAAGCGUGGGGAGCGAACAGG
rnacentral:rRNA from 1 species